CUUGUAUUUAAGUUUCCCAAGUAAGAUUUGGGCUGUAGAGAGAAUCUUGGAGCUCUUCAGGGACAUUGGGGCUCCCAGAACAAAUUUGUUUCUCACAGUACCGGUAAAAGGUGCAUUUUCUUGACCAUCCCAGCAGGGAUUUUUCUCUUAAGAAGUAGUGCUGCUCUGAAGACUCCUGGAGAUCCUGACAACAUUUUCCAUUAACUGGAUCAACCAAGAAGCUUUGCUACCUCAAGGAAGUAAGGCAUGAAUAUAAAAAGGAUGGGGGAGAUAGCAAGAACAACGAUGAUGACAUCAUUGAUAACACAAACAAAGUGAUAUCAUCAUAUAGACAUUGAAGACACAUCUGAGAAAACCAUAUGCCAGUCUCUUGGAAGGUUUCAAUUAUUUUUCUUUUUUAAAUUUAUUUUUAAUUGGGGUAUAUUUGUUUCACAAUAUUCUGUUGGCUU